rnacentral:lncRNA from 1 species
GCUCUCCUCGGCGUGAACUGAGUCGUCGCCUAGGACGAAGAGAAGACGGCGGCGGUGGCGAGCUUCGGUCGUCGGCGGUCCAGGCGCCACGGUGCACAAGAAAAGAAAAGAAGCGCGUCACGGCGUGCGCAAAGGAGAGGGGAGAAAGAAGAGCCAAGAGAUGGCGGCUAGGUCUCACUGGCUAAUCGACGGCGACUAAAAAACGCGGUGGCGUCCGAAGUUUUCCGGCGAGAAAUUUGGGCAGACUGGCGGCGUGGAAGCGGUCGAGCGAGAGGGGGAAAAGGUUGCGGGGGCGAGGGGCUUUAAACUGACGCGCUCAGAGAGGAAGAUGGGGGUCGUGGGCGACUCGAACGUGAGGGGGAGUUCGUGGGCGAGGCGGGCGGCUCUGCGCAGAGAAAACGAGUGACGGUUGAAGACGAUGCUGACAGGUGGGGCCCGCCUGUCAGCAGUUGUGGCUCGGGAGCGCGCGGGACUAGGCUGCAUGCGGUGCGUAAGUGGGCCGGCCCAGUAAGGGUCGGUCCAAUUUCCUUUUUUUUCUUCCUUUUCUUUUUCCUUUUUCUUUUUCUUUUUCCUUUUUCUUUUUCCUUUUUCUUUUUCUGGUUUUGAAUUAACUUUUGAUUCAAAGCUCCAAAUUGAGUCAAAUAAAAUGCAAAAAAAAUUGUAAAAUCAUAUCUUCAUAUGAUUCAAGUUUUGGGACAAGAAUUCCAUCAAAAUAAAAUAUAUAAAAAUACUUUUGCCUAUAAAAUGGCCUUCAGGGCUUUAAAUCUAAUAAAAUUUGUAGGGUUUCAAAUUCAAAUCAAAUACCAAAUAUGGGGUAGCAUUAACAUGCAUUAAACCACCUUUAUUAACAUCACCCUAAUAGGUCAAAAUCGAAUGGCAAAAAAUAGAAGUAAAAGCA